rnacentral:misc_RNA from 1 species
GGCAUGAUGAGGUGAAAAAUAGAAAGAAAGGUUGCAAUAUUUUAUCUAUUUUUAGGGCUUGUGCAACUGCAGGCCAGAUGUGCAGAUAGACAAAGCUUGUAUAUAUAGAAGUGUUUGUAAACUAUAUACAACAUGCUUACAUGCAGUAUGAAUAUAUAUAAUAUAUGCAAGUGGGCAAUGGAUGUCCUACAUGUAUUUAGCUUUUAUUGACAUGUAGGCUGACAGAAUAGAUAUUGAUAGAAGUCUCUUAAUUACAUCAAAGAAUCUAAUGUUUAGUAAAUACCAACAUCUCACUUAAUAUUUUAUUUGUUUGUUGUUGUUGUUUUUUUUUUUCAAGUAUCAAGAGCUCGUAUUACGGUAACUAAGAUAUUUCACCAUUAAAGUUUUGUAUUCUAUCAAACUUAUGAUAUAUUAAGUGCUUAGUGAUGCGAAAUGAAAUUUCAUUAGAAUAUUAUUUCAUCACUAGAUUAAGACUGGUAUUAAUCUAUAGUUUGUGAUUAUGAGGGUGUGUCCCUAUAUUAUCUGUGAUCAUCAUGUAGAUUGCCUUUGUUGAUGGUAAGUUGUACAUUGGAAGGUUUUUUAAAACCAUCUUCUCAAUGUUCAUAUGUUUUGUUUGUAUUUUGCAAUUAUUCAUGCAUUAUAAAUGUGUUAAAUAAAUUUAAACAUUUUCUGCCUCU